rnacentral:lncRNA from 1 species
GGUGGCAUUCUUUGGGCCACUCUACCCCCUCCUGUUUGAUAACUUGGAAACGGUCGAGCUCCCCACCCCUAAACCAUAUGAGGGGCAGAUCCAGGAUUUUAGGUUAGGAAGGGUGCAAACUUAAAUUUUCGCCGAGCAGAGCGAGGCUAAAAAAAAUUUGAGGUAAAAUUAUCGGAAUAUUCUUUAUUAAGCUGAGAACAACCCAUGCUUUGCAAAUUUAAGGGGGGUGCAACCAUAUAUAUUCAUGUUUGUGACAAUAUGAAAAAUCAAAUGAAAUAUAGAAAGAGUCGCUGGGGGUCACCCCACCCUUCCUGUUUUAGAAUUUAAAAAUGGUCCAGAUCCCCACCCCUAAACCAUAUAUAUUCAUGUAUGGGACAAUAUAACAAAUCAGAUGAAAUAUAGGGGAGUCCCUUGGGUCACCCCACCCCCUCCUGUUUGAGAAUUUGAAACCCGUUGAGAUCGCCACCCCUUAACCAUAUAUUCAUGUACGGGACAAUAUAACAAUUCAAAUGAAAGAUAGGGGAGUCCCUGAGGUCACUGUACACCCUCCUGUUUGAGAACUUGGAAAUGGUCAAAAUCCUUAUCCCUACACCAUAUAUACUCAUGUAUGGGACAAUAUAACAAAUCAAAUAAAAUAUAGGGGAAGUCCCUGUGGUCACCCCAACCCUCCUGUUUGAGAACUUGGAAACGGUUGAGAUCCCCACACCAAAACAAUAUAUAUUCAUGUAUGGGCC